rnacentral:tRNA from 1 species
GGUGUUAUAGUAUAGUGGUCAGUACAUCACGUUGUGGAGUUGGUUCAACUUCAGCCACGUGCAAUACCGUGAAGACCCCGGUUCGAUUCCGGGUAACGCCA